rnacentral:rRNA from 1 species
UACGAAGGGUGCAAGCGUUACUCGGAAUUACUGGGCGUAAAGCGUGCGUAGACGGUUAUGUAAGUCAGAUGUGAAAGCCCCGGGCUCAACCUGGGAAUUGCAUUUGAGACUGCAUAGCUAGGGUGCGGAAGAGGGAAGCGGAAUUUCCGGUGUAGCGGUGAAAUGCGUAGAUAUCGGAAGGAACACCAGUGGCGAAAGCGGCUUCCUGGUCCAGCACCGACGUUCAGGCACGAAAGCGUGGGGAGCAAACAGG